rfam:Salmo salar isolate Sally breed double haploid chromosome ssa04, whole genome shotgun sequence.
UUCCCUGUGGCUCAGUUGGUAGAGCAUGGUGUUUACAAUGCCAUGGUUGUGGGUUCGAUUCCCACGGGGGACC